rnacentral:rRNA from 1 species
UACGGAGGGUGCAAGCGUUAUCCGGAUUCACUGGGUUUAAAGGGUGCGUAGGUGGGCCUGUAAGUCAGCGGUGAAAUCUCCGGGCUUAACCCGGAAACUGCCAUUGAUACUAUAGGUCUUGAAUUAUCUGGAGGUAAGCGGAAUAUGUCAUGUAGCGGUGAAAUGCUUAGAUAUGACAUAGAACACCAAUUGCGAAGGCAGCUUACUACGGAUACAUUGACACUGAGGCACGAAAGCGUGGGGAUCAAACAGG